rnacentral:lncRNA from 1 species
GGCGGAGGGAGCGGGCGCGGCGCUGAGGGCGCGGAGGUGCGGGCUGGGAGGGGGCGCUUAGCGCGGCCGGGGACGGACGCGGGGCCGAUAGGGUCGCUUAGCACGGGAGAACAUGGCAGGAAAAGGAAGAAGCUCAGCUCAGUGGAUGCAGACUGGUGUGGGAGACUUCCUAGUACUGGUGUCUAAAGUGGGAUAAGCAAGUUUCUUUUGAGGACUUUCAGGAGCAUAUUCUGAAGGAGUAAGGGUGAGAGGGGGGAAGGUUACCAUGGGAAAGCAGUCUCUAUAUAUCUGUAGUCUGUAGAGUUUAUGUGUGGGUUCUUUGAUUUGUUUGGUGACUGGGGAAGGGCUUGAAGGAAAGUUGAAGAUAACCUCCAGAUACGUGGUCUCAUAAUGAUAAUGUAUAUUGUCUACUCAUGUCUUGGUUACUAUUUAUAUACCUGUAUUACUAUAUUAA